rnacentral:rRNA from 1 species
GAUGAACGCUGGCGGCGUGCCUAAUACAUGCAAGUCGAGCGAACAGAUAAGGAGCUUUCUCCUUUGACGUUAGCGGCGGACGGGUGAGUAACACGUGGGUAACCUACCUAUAAGACUGGGAUAACUUCGGGAAACCGGAGCUAAUACCGGAUAACAUUUGGAACCGCAUGGUUCUAAAGUGAAAGAUGGUUUUGCUAUCACUUAUAGAUGGACCCGCGCCGUAUUAGCUAGUUGGUAAGGUAACGGCUUACCAAGGCAACGAUACGUAGCCGACCUGAGAGGGUGAUCGGCCACACUGGAACUGAGACACGGUCCAGACUCCUACGGGAGGCAGCAGUAGGGAAUCUUCCGCAAUGGGCGAAAGCCUGACGGAGCAACGCCGCGUGAGUGAUGAAGGGUUUCGGCUCGUAAAACUCUGUUAUUAGGGAAGAACAAACGUGUAAGUAACUGUGCACGUCUUGACGGUACCUAAUCUGAAAGCCACGGCUAACUACGUG